GCUGGGCGUGGUAGCGCACACCUGUAAUCCCAGCAGCUCAGGAGGCUGAGACAGGAGGAUUGCAAGUUCAAAGCCAGCCUUAGCAAUGGCAAGGCACUUAGCAAUUCAGUGAGAACCUGUCUCUA
rnacentral:sRNA from 1 species